AACGAACGCUGGCGGCAUGCCUAACACAUGCAAGUCGAACGAUUGCCCUCGGGUGUUGUUGGCGCACGGGUGCGUAACGCGGGGGGAUCUGCCCUUAGGUCCGGAACAACAGCUGGAAACGGCUGCUAAUACCGGAUGAUAUCGCGAGAUCAAAGAUUUAUCGCCUGAGGAUGAGCUCGCGUUGGAUUAGGUGGUUGGUAGGGUAAGCGGCUACCAAGCCGACUAUCCAUAGCUGGGCUGAGAGGGUGGUCCGCGACACUGGGGCUGAGACGCGGCCGAGACUCCUACGCAAGGGAGCAGAGGCGAAUAUAGGACAAUGGGGGCAGGCCUGAUCCAGCUAGGCCGGGUAAGUGAUGAAGUCCGUAGAGAUGUAAAGCUGUUUUACCCGGGAAGAUAAUGACGGUACCGGGAGAAUAAGCCCCGGCUAACUACGUG
rnacentral:rRNA from 1 species